rnacentral:pre_miRNA from 13 species
GAUUUUGGGAUGCAUUUUGUGCAGUUAUGUCUUCAUGUGAUAAUUCUCUCAUCACUGGGCAAAGUGUGUCUCAUAAU